GUGCUCGUUUCAGCAGCACAUCUACUAAAAUUGGAAAGACAGAAGAUUAGCAUGGCCCCUAUGCAAGGAUGACACACAAAUUCUUGAAGCAAUCCAUAUUAAA